GCAUAUCAAUAAGCGGAGGAAAAGAAACCAACAGGGAUUGCCCUUAGUAACGGCGAAGUGAAGCGGCAACAGCUCAAAUUUGAAAUCUGGCCUCACGGUCCGAAUUGUAAUUUGUAGAGGAUGUUUCUGGCGACGUGUCUUCCGAGUUCCCUGGAACGGGACGCCAUAGAGGGUGAGAGCCCCGUCCGGUCGUACACCUAGCCUCUGUGAAACUCCUUCGACGAGUCGAGUAGUUUGGGAAUGCUGCUCUAAAUGGGAGGUAUACGUCUUCUAAAGCUAAAUACCGGCCAGAGACCGAUAGCGCACAAGUAGAGUGAUCGAAAGAUGAAAAGCACUUUGAAAAGAGGGUUAAAUAGUACGUGAAAUUGCUGAAAGGGAAGCGCUUAUGACCAGACUUGGGCUCGGUGAAUCAUCCGGCGUUCUCGCCGGUGCACUUUGCCGUCCCAGGCCAGCAUCAGUUCGCGCCGGGGGAUAAAGGUUUCGGGAAUGUAGCUCCCUCGGGAGUGUUAUAGCCCGUUGCGUAAUACCCUGGCGUGGACUGAGGUCCGCGCUCUGCAAGGAUGCUGGCGUAAUGGUCAUCAGUGACCCGUCUUGAAACACGGACCAAGGAGUCGUCUUCGUAUGCGAGUGUUCGGGUGUCAAACCCCUACGCGUAAUGAAAGUGAACGUAGGAGAGAGCUUCGGCGCAUCUCCGACCGAUCCUGAUGUUCUCGGAUGGAUUUGAGUAAGAGCAUACGGGGCCGGACCCGAAAGAAGGUGAACUAUGCCUGUAUAGGGUGAAGCCAGAGGAAACUCUGGUGGAGGCUCGCAGCGGUUCUGACGUGCAAAUCGAUCGUCAAAUAUGGGCAUGGGGGGCGAAAGACUAAUCGAACCUUCUAGUAGCUGGUUUCCGCCGAAG
rnacentral:rRNA from 1 species